rnacentral:rRNA from 1 species
UACAGUGGUCUCAAGCGUUGUUCGGAUUCAUUGGGCGUAAAGGGUGCGUAGGCGGCGCGGUAAGUCGGGUGUGAAAUCUCGGAGCUUAACUCCGAAACUGCAUUCGAUACUGCCGUGCUUGAGGACUGGAGAGGAGACUGGAAUUUACGGUGUAGCGGUGAAAUGCGUAGAUAUCGUAAGGAAGACCAGUGGCGAAGGCGGGUCUCUGGACAGUUCCUGACGCUGAGGCACGAAGGUCAGGGGAGCAAACGGG